GGGCCUGUAGCACAGUUGGUAAUGCGCCGCAUUCGCAUUGCGGAGAUCAGCGGUUCGACUCCGCUCAGGUCCACAA
rnacentral:tRNA from 1 species